GCGACCGACACAACACUAAGACGGAGCGUCAAGUUGCUCAUUGCUGUCUGUGAAUCAUAUCAACAAAUAAGUGUUGAUCUGGAGCUGUGGUCACAUGAGCGACUUUUGGAGAGGUUGGGAAUUGUCUAUGGUGACAAAGUGCAUAUUUGGAGCAAAGUGUGUGUGUAUCCGAAUCCCAGAGCUCCAGUGUGCAUUUUUACAGUCUCCGUCUGCUGCCUUUCUGUCUCUCUGCAACCUUAAGAACUCAGUGCCAGCUAUUCCACUUGUCAAGCGCUGCCUGAUGUGGUGGCGCUAACAGCGCCUCAUAUGCUUUCUCAUCAAACCACACGAUUAGUCAGUGGCAGAUCAAAACCAAGCCAAGCCAAGACCUUGCUCUGUAAAUGCCACACAUGUCGUGACCACCAUCCACAACGUUUUAGAGAGUGUAAGCAGUUUCAGUAGGGAAGCCCAGACUUUCCAGUCCCCGGCCACCUCCUCCAGCUCCACCGGGAGGACAUCAAGGCGUUCCCAGGCCAGCUGUGAGCCUUCUCCCAGCUGGGCAUGCCCGGAACACCUCACCAGUAGGCAUCCGGACGAGAUGGCUCCAAUCGAUGUGAAGGAGCAGCAAAAUACACGAACAGCAGUGCCAGUUAUAUGCAAGAUAUUUUUUUGCUCUGCUGAAUGAAUGAAUGAAUUUAACUGCCAAGAAGGAGGAUUCUAUACCCAAACUCACUAGGGGGUGAUCAGCACGAGGCACACAUGCCGGCAAAUACUGUAACUACUUCUUAAGCGAAUCUCGUGUUUCCGGACAAAAAAUUUACUUUUUAAUUAAUUUACGGGAGCGAAGCGAAUUUACAUGGAAUGCCACAAACCGAUAGUCACCUGAACAGGGGAGCCUCAGGAUUCAAAUCUGUUGAAAAAGCAGAAAUUUUGCAUAUAACUUUAUGGAAGUAUGGUACAACAGUUUAACCAAAAUUUGAAUACAAAUGUCUAAAGAUCAGCUGAUCAUCUCUCCCUCACUUCCCACUGUUUUUUGUAUUUUCUUUGGUUUUUAGUGUACUGAAUACCUUCUCACAUAAGUGAUAUUGCGCCAACAAAAUGUAAUGAAGAAAUAAAAGCAAACAAAUUGUAUCUCGUAGUUCUGAAGGUCCACCGUACUUGUCUUA